UCAAAUCCCUGCCCAAAAAUUUCUUCUUGAAAUGUGGGAUUUUAUUACCAAUUACAAACACCUUUCACUAGAAAAGAAUAAGAAACGACUUGGCUAGAGUACUGUCAAACUAAAAAUAGCGCACAGACUAAAGAAAAGAGGGACUAGAGAAGGUAAAACAUCCUUCACGCUGGCAUGUUGUUUUGGGGGGUGUAUGGUCAGCAUCUUAGAGUAAGGAUGGAAAUACAGUCAAGCUUCUCAUAAAAACAUCAUUUGUUCCGAUAUUGUUUGGCUGCUAUAGAGAAAU
rnacentral:lncRNA from 1 species